rnacentral:rRNA from 1 species
GGAAGCAGCAGUGAGGAAUUUUUCACAAUGGACGAAAGUCUGAUGGAGCAAUACCACGUGAACGAUGAAGGUCUUCUGAUUGUAAAGUUCUUUUAUUUAGGAAAAAAAGCGCGCUAGGAAAUGAGCGCGCCUUGAUGGUACUAAUUGAAUAAGUGACAGCUAACUAUGUGCCAGCAGCUGCGGUAAAACAUAGGUCACGAGCAUUAUCCGGAUUUAUUGGGCGUAAAGGAAGCGUAGGUGGGGAGGUUGAUCCAUUGUUAAAGGCAUUUGCUUAACAAAUGUGUGCGAUGGAGAUCGCCUCCCUAGAGUUAAUCAGGGGGUACUGGAAUUCAAUGUGUAGCGGUGGAAUGCGUAGAUAUAUUGAGGAACACCAGAGGCUAAGGCGAGUACCUAGGAUAUAACUGACACUGAGGCUUGAAAGCGUGGGGAGCAAAUGGGAUUAGAUACCCCAGUAGUCCACGCCGUAAACGAUGGGCAUUAGGUAUUUGACAUCUAGUCGAGUGCUGUAGCUAACGCGUUAAAUGCCCCGCCUGGGUAGUAUAUAUGCAAAUAUGAACUCCAAAGAAAUAGACGGGGACCUGAACAAGUGGUGGAGCA